rnacentral:rRNA from 1 species
UACGUAGGUGACAAGCGUUGUCCGGAUUUACUGGGCGUAAAGAGCGCGCAGGCGGUCGUUCACGUCGAGUGUGAAAGCCCCCGGCUCAACUGGGGAGGGUCACUCGAUACUGAUCGACUCGAAGGCAGGAGAGGGUAGUGGAAUUCCCGGUGUAGUGGUGAAAUGCGUAGAUAUCGGGAGGAACACCAGUGGCGAAGGCGACUACCUGGCCUGUUCUUGACGCUGAGGCGCGAAAGCUAGGGGAGCAAACGGG